UCUCCCUGCAGACAUAUCACUUUUGGGCUCAAGCACUGUAAGAGAGGGAGAGGAUGUGGAUUUCCAAUGUACUAUUAUUAGAACCCCCCAGAGAAUAGAAAUGACCAGUCACUCUUACCUCUGCAAGAACGGCACUGCUGUUCAGAUGGAGGAGUUUGAUGUGAAUCUGAUGGAGGCAACUUUUACAAUUAAAAGUGUUAUUAACAAUGACUUGAUCUGCAAUCAAAACCCCUGGAUUAUACAGGCAGGAAGUUAUAUGGAAACAAUUCAGCCUUUCUUCAGGUUAAUGAGGCUGCACAUGAUGUGAGACUUGUCAAUGUAAUCCAAUUGAUAAAUUCAGCUGUUGUGGUGCUACUUCUACUGACUACGCAGCAACUGAAGGGCCUAAAGCAGAAGCCGUGUACCAGACCACACACAUAGACAGGUUGUUGUCAGUACAUUUAACAACGGCAAGAUGCAAUCUAUUUUCAAGCCACACAUUACAUGUGGACUGUUGAUCUUGCAAUAUCUGUCUUGUCUACUCACUCCUGGCAUGCUGUAGUUUAAUGUAGUGGACAUUACUAUUUGUCAACUCCACAUUUUCAUUAUGUUGAUGACUGACACACUCAGUAUUCCAUUUCAUGUUUUACUCGUGCACUAGUUGAGCUACUGAGCUCGUGAACAACAAUGUAUGGA